GGGCGGCUGGCGGAACAGGUAGACGCGCACGUUUGAGGGGCGUGUGGGGAGACCCAUCCGGGUUCGAGUCCCGGGCCGCCCACCA
rnacentral:tRNA from 2 species